rnacentral:lncRNA from 1 species
AUAAUUUACUUACAAGAUUGAUAAAAACAAAAGAAAUAUCUCUAAAGAGUGUAUGUUGAGGAAACAAAUUCACAUAAGGGGUAUGAUGGUAGUUUUUGUAAGCUACGAGAAUCUACCGUAUAGAUUCCCUGUUUAACGCUGUUAAAAAAGUAGUCCGACUCAUGAAUCAUGAUGAUUCGUGUAAAGUCACACAUACACACACUGCCACUAGCCAGAAGCAAAAAAAAAAAAAAAAAAAAGCUAACGAGUAAGAAGAGAUCACACGUGUUGUAACCAAAAGCCACACGUGCGAUGAGUUGC